rnacentral:lncRNA from 1 species
GUUGAAAACCCUUUGGUUGCAAAUUCUUGCUGUUGUGACUGCUGGAGUGUUUCCCAAAGGAAUACUUCUGCAUUACGGAAUACAGCUCUCUGUAACUGCAUCUUUCUGAAGGAGUAUCUUUUUUAAAAGACGUUCUUUUGGAAUAUAAGAGAAAAAUACUAUUUGAGGAACAUUGCAUUGUACUCUUACUGGAGAUGAACAUUUUGCUUUUCCCCCAUUUAAAAACCCAAAGUUUGUAAACUUUAUAAGUUACACUGUAAAAUAAAUCUUUAAUAACAGGGAGGCAGCAGCGCCUCUGUAAUAGGCUCAGAAGAGGACAGCAAACUGUAAAACUAUGGAAUAGCAGAGUUCUCCAGCUGGAUAGAGAUGGCAGAUGAGGACAUGACUGUAUCUCCAGCUUUGAAUUCCUAUCCAGAUCCUCUAAAGAAAUUGUUGCAUUACUGA